CAGCCGCCGCGGGAAUACGUAGGUGGCAAGCGUUGUCCGGAAUUAUUGGGCGUAAAGGGCUCGCAGGCGGUUUCUUAAGUCUGAUGUGAAAGCCCCCGGCUCAACCGGGGAGGGUCAUUGGAAACUGGGAAACUUGAGUGCAGAAGAGGAGAGUGGAAUUCCACGUGUAGCGGUGAAAUGCGUAGAGAUGUGGAGGAACACCAGUGGCGAAGGUGACUCUCUGGUCUGUAACUGACGCUGAGGAGCGAAAGCGUGGGGAGCGAACAGGAUUAGAUACCCGCGUAGUCCCUGUCUCUUAUAC
rnacentral:rRNA from 1 species